UGUAUUGUUCUCUACACAUUCAAUAUGGUAUCCAUACAGCGGGUAGCAUGCAAAGUAAUGGAGUUUUUUUCUGAAACAGAAGGAAAACUAGUUCCACGCUAUUGUUGCGGCCGAAACUUAUAGACGGGGCCAAGCUUUCGCCUGUGUCCAGCGGCCAGCGCAGAAGUGCCAUCCAACACGACCUUGAACUUUCUUGAACCAAAACAUGGCGGCCAGGAAGUGAUUUUUAGAAAUGAUCUUGAUGAUGUUUGCUGUUUUAUAAGCAAAAUGUGAAAUGUCAUCGGAUACCUUAUCAGCCCGUGGAUACAUAAGGUCUUGCUUGCUGCCCGCAGUUUGACCCAACAGCCACACAGAUGUAGAGAUGCAGUCACAGUCAGGCGUCGACAGCCUAGUGCCAUCAAACCUGGGUUUGGUGACCAUUGAGAAGUCUUCAGCACUCAUCCUAGUGACAGUCCUGGAUAUCUGGGGUGGAGGGGCACUUUCUGACUCUUCAGAUUGAAAGCCGAGGAACAUGGACUGCUGCCGCCAGCUGUUUGUUACACCGCCUCGACACACAACAGAGUACCGGGCACACCUGGAGCAGUCGCCACUGUAGCACUUGAGGGUUGCUUCGAGCACUCUAGGUCUUGCCCGCAGUAGGACGCAACAGCCACACAGAGGUAGAGAUGCCCUCACAAUCAGAUGUCGACAGCCCAGUGCCAUCCGCCUUUCAUCGUUGACUCCAAGUUGAAGGCCCUCUGUGUGUUUUGGCUUGACAAGUGACAAGUGGCAGGUGAAACAUUUCCACACCUCCACAUCAGUUCUCACCUGUGCAAUGCCUACCUUUCUCCAUCUUCCCGAGGCAAGGGAAUAAACUGACUAUAAAAGUCCAUUUUCCACCCUUGCCGAAUUUCGUGGCUUGAUCAUAGCACUACCAGUAGCUAUUACGUGUUAUGGCCCUUCUAUGUCCAUCAAUCUCCCUCUCAUAUCACUUGUACUUGUUUCAAACAAUAUGGCAGCGCAUAGUCAAGAUGAUCUGAUCGAUAAUCAAAAUUUAUAUUGUAAUAAAAUGGGCCUUACCUCGCAAAGUGUAUCAGAUCAUUUGAGCACCAUGAUUUGAAACAUUAAAGAUUUGGAAAAUAUCUGUCGACUCCCAGUUGACGGAACACAUGCUUUGGAAAUCAUGCAUUCGAACGAAAGCUGCACGGUGGAAUCCAUGUUGUUUACACACUGGGUGUCUAGUUUUUUACACGAUUUUGAUUGGACUAUGCAAAGACUCCUUAGUCCACCCACAAUGUAACUCCAGAAUUCCAGCCUAGUUAUGCAAGGUUGGAAACUGGACUUUUAUAGUCAGUUAACUCCCUUGCCUUGGGAAGAUGACUUUCCUCCUGCUGCCUGAACAUCAGAGGACUAUUUAUUCCCUGUUAUCGCAUUUUCUGUUACGGUAAAUCUAUUUAUAGCUCCCUAUUCUGUUAUGUUGUCUGUUUUUUAUUGAUUGUACACCUGCGAUUACCUUUAAUUAAAGAAUGGUAAAUAUUGGAACAUUUAUUCAUUACUUUUCAAAUACUACACUAUCUUGGCUUUGCAGUGAUAGGUAGCUUGUUGGUAUUGCCACAAACAUAAAUAUACCAGAACAGUUUAAAGAAACAUGAAUACUUUUCUUUAACAAGUCUCUGGGAACUUGGGACCCAUGAAGAUUCUGGGGUAGAAUAGGUCUUCAGCAACCCAUGUUUGCCGUAAAAGUGACAGCACACCCAAGCCCAAGUCGAAGUUUCCAAAUUGACUUUGCCGGACUCUUGCAGUUGACAAGAUGAACAAACAGCACUGUGGGCUCUACCACGGAAGUUACGAGCAAAGGUUGUAUCACGAGGUUGUAUCACGAGGUUGUGUCACGAGGUUGUAUCACGAGGUUGUAUCACAAGGCUGUAUCACGAGGUUGUAUCACGAGGCUGUAUCACCAGGCUGUAUCACGAGGCUGUAUCACGAGGCUGUAUCACGAGGUUGUAUCACGAGGUUGUAUCACGAGGUAAUGACCGGUGCAUUGCCUUGUUUGUUGCUUCACACUGUUGACAGUGGAGGUUGAUUUGGGUCUUUUCAAUCAUUUUAGGGCCGAGACAAAAGUCUAAAUCUAAAUAUUUACUUUGCAAUAACAAAUUUUGCUUCUCCCCCUUGCAAACAAAUGACUGCUUUCUGUGUUUUUUGUGAUCCCCCAUGUAACAUUUUGCAAAAGCAUCACAAGUCUAUGAGAGAGAUUUCUUCCUCCUUGGCAGGUCACCUGCAUCACCUGAGUUAGCAGCUGAAAACUCACCUGCACAUCUGGAUGCACAGUCUAAAGAAAAUCUAUUUGCCAAAUUUUGUUUAUCUUGUUUGGCUCUAGCCGGCAUCAUAUCCACAACAAAUUUAGAAUUUUUAAUAAACGUUUUUAAUAAACGUUUGAUGCCGUGUAUGAAGAAAAGUUUGUGGGCAAGCAUACAUUUCACCUGCUUCAUAAAUUUCAAUGUGCGCUGCACUGUCAGCAACUCUUCCACAAUUUGGUCUUUCUUUAAUUCCCUGAAACACUGCAGUUCACUGUUUUAAUUUCCAAUUGAUUCUGACAUAUGCACAUCGGAUGUGCAGUGUGGGUUGUUUACACAAGAAAUAUUGUCAACUAAACUGUGCUUUGAACAUAGUUUGGGUUUUGGGUUUAAAGCCAAAGUUUGGUGGUCACUAGCCUUGAUCUCAGUGGCCACGUAGGUUACUUGAGUGGCUGGCUGAAAAGGGGUUUUCCUAAGUCGUGAACACAGUGAUUGUUGUACAUUGCAUCAGGUGAUCAGCUUACCUUAUUUAAAUUUGCUCCCCUGUAUUUAGUUACUUCCUUAUUUCCACCCUCCUGGCUCUCAUGUCUUUUGUGUUCUGAGAUUUUAUAUCAUCACCAACUCUGUUGGCAGCUUUCUGCAUGCCUGAACGGGAUGGUGGAGGUAUAUCGGAGCUCAUGUGCAGGACGCGGAAACUCUCACUUCAAUAGGACAUUUUGAGAGGCCUAUCUGUAGUCCAGUAUUGGCUUUGGAAGAUGGACGUCCCCUUCUCACCUCACCUCACCACCCACUACCUCCUUGUACAGUGUACGUACUUCAACAGUUUCAGGGAACUCUCAUCCUCCUUGGGGGUGUUUUCCUUCCUUGGCCUAAACAGAAUACAGCUCACAUGUCUUGCCUGAUGACCAGUUCAUGUCAACCUGAUGACACAGCUCCAUGAGAGUCAUGGUGUUAGGGAACCAGGGAUAGGGUACAAUGCCCCUUUUAGAGUCUUGGGUUUAGUGAACCAGGAAUAGGGUACAAUGUCCCUUUUAGAGUCUUGGCGUUAGGGAACCAUGGAUAGGGUACAAUGCCCCUUUUAGAGUCUUGGGGUUAGGGAACCAGGGAUAGGGUACAAUGCCCCUUUUAGAACUCUUGGGGUUAGGGAA